rnacentral:rRNA from 1 species
AUUGAACGCUGGCGGCAGGCUUAACACAUGCAAGUCGAGCGGGGUGAUGGUGCUUGCACUAUCACUUAGCGGCGGACGGGUGAGUAAUGCUUAGGAAUCUGCCUAUUAGUGGGGGACAACAUCUCGAAAGGGAUGCUAAUACCGCAUACGUCCUACGGGAGAAAGCAGGGGAUCACUUGUGACCUUGCGCUAAUAGAUGAGCCUAAGUCGGAUUAGCUAGUUGGUGGGGUAAAGGCCUACCAAGGCGACGAUCUGUAGCGGGUCUGAGAGGAGGAUCCGCCCCACUGGGACUGAGACACGGCCCAGACUCCUACGGGAGGCAGCAGUGUGGAAUAUUGGACAAUGGGGGGAACCCUGAUCCAGCCAUGCCGCGUGUGUGAAGAAGGCCUUAUGGUUGUAAAGCACUUUAAGCGAGGAGGAGGCUCUUUUGGUUAAUACCCAAGAUGAGUGGACGUUACUCGCAGAAUAAGCACCGGCUAACUCUGUGCCAGCCGCCGCCGUAACAC